rnacentral:rRNA from 1 species
GAUGAACGCUAGCGGGAGGCCUAACACAUGCAAGCCGAGCGGUAUGCAUUCUUAGCUUGCUAAGAAUGCAGAGAGCGGCGCACGGGUGCGUAACAUGUGUGCAACUUGCCUUUAUCAGGGGGAUAGCCUUUAGAAAUGAAGAUUAAUACCCCAUAAUAUAUUGAUUGGCAUCAAUUAAUAUUGAAAACAUUUGUGGAUAAAGAUAGGCACGCACAAGAUUAGCUAGUUGGUACGGUAACGGCGUACCAAGGCGACGAUCUUUAGGGGGCCUGAGAGGGUGAUCCCCCACACUGGUACUGAGACACGGACCAGACUCCUACGGGAGGCAGCAGUGAGGAAUAUUGGAUAAUGGGUGAGAGCCUGAUCCAGCCAUCCCGCGUGAAGGACGACGGACCUAUGGUUUGUAAACUUCUUUUAUAUAGGAAUAAACCUACCCUCGUGAGGGUAGCUGAAUGUACUAUAUGAAUAAGCACCGGCUAACUCCGUGCCAGCAGCCGCGGUAAUACGGAGGGUGCAAGCGUUAUCCGGAUUUAUUGGGUUUAAAGGGUCCGUAGGCGGGCUAAUAAGUCAGUAGUGAAAUCUUGUCGCUUAACGAUAAAACUGCUAUUGAUACUGUUAGUCUUGAGUGUAUUUGAAGUAGCUGGAAUGAGUAGUGUAGCGGUGAAAUGCAUAGAUAUUACUCAGAACACCAAUUGCGAAGGCAGGUUACUAAGAUACAACUGACGCUGAUGGACGAAAGCGUGGGGAGCGAACAGGAUUAGAUACCCUGGUAGUCCACGCCGUAAACGAUGCUUACUCGUUUUCGGGUUAUUAUGAUUCGGAGACCAAGCGAAAGUGAUAAGUAAGCCACCCUGGGGAGUACGCCUCCGCAAGAGUGAAACUCAAAGGAAUUGGCGGGGGCCCGCCACAAGCGGUGGGAAUUAUGUGGUUUAAUUCGAUGAUACGCGAGGAACCUUACCAAGACUUAAAUGGGAAAUGACAGGUUUAGAGAUAGACUUUUCUUCGGACAUUUUUCAAGGUGCUGCAUGGUUGUCGUCAGCUCGUGCCGUGAGGUGUUAGGUUAAGUCCUGCAACGAGCGCAACCCCUAUCUUUAGUUGCUAACAUUAAGUUGAGGACUCUAGAGAGACUGCCUACGCAAGUAGAGAGGAAGGUGGGGAUGACGUCAAAUCAUCACGGCCCUUACGUCUUGGGCUACACACGUAAUACAAUGGUAGGUACAGAGGGCAGCUACACAGUGAUGUGAUGCAAAUCUCGAAAGCCUAUCUCAGUUCGGAUUGGAGUCUGCAACUCGACUCUAUGAAGCUGGAAUCGCUAGUAAUCGCGCAUCAGCCAUGGCGCGGUGAAUACGUUCCCGGGCCU